rnacentral:rRNA from 1 species
ACACGACUACAUUAGAUACCCGCGUAGUCCUAGCCGUAAACGAUACUCGCUAGGUGUCGGCCACGGUGCGACCGUUGUCGGUGCCGUAGGGAAGCCGUGAAGCGAGCCACCCGGGAAGUACGGCCGCAAGGCUGAAACUUAAAGGAAUUGGCGGGGGAGCACCACAACGGGUGGAGCUUGCGGUUUAAUUGGAUUCAACGCCGGAAAUCUUACCGGGACCGACAGCAACAUGAAGGCCAGGCUGAAGACUUUGCCGGAUUAGCUG